GAUGAACGCUGGCGGCGUGCCUAAUACAUGCAAGUCGAGCGAAUGGAUUAAGAGCUUGCUCUUAUGAAGUUAGCGGCGGACGGGUGAGUAACACGUGGGUAACCUGCCCAUAAGACUGGGAUAACUCCGGGAAACCGGGGCUAAUACCGGAUAACAUUUUGAACCGCAUGGUUCGAAAUUGAAAGGCGGCUCCGGCUGUCACUUAUGGAUGGACCCGCGUCGCAUUAGCUAGUUGGUGAGGUAACGGCUCACCAAGGCAACGAUGCGUAGCCGACCUGGGAGGGUGAUCGGCCACACUGGGACUGAGACACGGCCCAGAGUCCUGCGGGAGGCAGCAGUAGGGAAUCUUCCGCAAUGGACGAAAGUCUGACGGAGCAACGCCGCGUGAGUGAGGAAGGCUUUCGGGUCGUAAAACUCUGUUGUUAGGGAAGAACAAGUGCUAGUUGAAUAAGCUGGCACCUUGACGGUACCUAACCAGAAAGCCACGGCUAACUACGUGCCAGCCGCCGCAGUAA
rnacentral:rRNA from 1 species